CCCUUAGAUGUUCUGGGCCGCACGCGCGCUACACUGACGAGUGCAACGAGCUUAUAACCUUGGCCGAAAGGUCUGGGUAAUCUCCAAAUUUCGUCGUGAUGGGGAUAGAUUAUUGCAAUUAUUAAUCUUCAACGAGGAAUGCCUAGUAAGUGCAAGUCAACAGCUUGCGUUGAUUACGUCCCUGCCCUUUGUACACACCGCCCGUCGCUACUACUGAUUGGAUGUUUAAGCGAGGUUCUCGAACUGCUAGUGACUGAUCUUUGGUGAGGUCGCAGUGUGGGAAGUGAUCCUAGCUUUGGUGUCUAGAGGAAGUAAAAGUCGUAACA
rnacentral:rRNA from 1 species